AUGCGUCGAGACCAUCGUUGCAACGUCGCGACCUCUGCCCUGGAGUACCUCAAGUUCGUCUACAUGAAACUGCCAAGUACCUCUACGCACGGAUACCGUCAAGUACCUACACCGGCAAGGCUACACGGACGUUCGUUCCACUACUACACCGAAACGUCAAGUUCGACUAUGUUUUGUCGCCCCGGCCAGAGUCGUCAAGUACCCGAAGACCAUAUUGCACCAAGUACAUCUACCGCCGUCUUCGGAAUUGUCAAGAAUUCCAAGUACCGCGACACCUAG
rnacentral:rRNA from 1 species